rnacentral:rRNA from 1 species
CAGUAGCCGCGGUAAUACAGAGGGUGCGAGCGUUAAUCGGAUUUACUGGGCGUAAAGCGUGCGUAGGCGGCUAAUUGAGUCGGAUGUGAAAUCCCCGAGCUUAACUUGGGAAUUGCAUUCGAUACUGGUUAGCUAGAGUGUGGGAGAGGAUGGUAGAAUUCCAGGUGUAGCGGUGAAAUGCGUAGAGAUCUGGAGGAAUACCGAUGGCGAAGGCAGCCAUCUGGCCUAACACUGACGCUGAGGUACGAAAGCAUGGGGAGCAAACAGGAUUAGAUACCCGUGUAGUCCAUGUCUCUUAUAC